rnacentral:lncRNA from 1 species
GGAUAAGAGAUGUUAUCCUUACAACACUACAGGGUGAAUGCUUGUAUGCUCUCCAUUUUAUAGGUGAGGAAACCAAGGCACAGAACAUUCAAAUAACUUGUCCAAAGAUCACAGAUUUGUAAGUGGUAGAGCUAGGCAAUGUAACUCAAGGGCACACGGGCUUAAUACUAGAAAACGAAAAAAGGUAUAAGCAAAGACCUAAUAAUCGAAGAAAAUUAUAAGAGGAAGUAAUUAUUUAAAUGUUGCAGAAAGGACAUUGUAUUAAUUGGAAUUAUCCUUGAUCAUAGGGUACUGAUAAUUUACAUUGCUGUUGCCAGUGUACAUUUUGUAGAGAUUUGACAGUUUAUCUCUUCGUGAAGAUAGAAAAGGACACCAGCUAGAGCAAUUGCAAUGCAGUAUGUUCCCAAGGUUGUGCAUAAAUCUUUAGUACAGAUAUCAAUUUAAACACUGAUAUAAUGAACCAAUUAGUAAAGAAUUAUCUCUGCUAAGAAUAGCUGCUAUUGAAUCCCUGCUAUGGAAAAGUAGAAACAUUGUGAUUUUAUUGUCUAGGUGAUAUAUCUACUAUCUUCUGAAAGUAUUAUUAAAGGAUUAACCUGUAACAUGUGCAAAAUUUGAGUAGAUUGAGAAAAUAUUGCAGUUCAAUGUAAAAAUAAUAUGAAACAUUUAAUCAGUGUGUAUUGAGCAAGAUAUUGCAUUUGUCUUUUUAUAAAACUCUUUAGCAACUAUUACUUAUUUUAAAAAUAUAAGGGAAUUACAUUUCCCUGCUUUCAAAAAGUUUUAGGUAAUUGUAAUUAAAUUCUUUAUAAGGUUACCACUGGAAGAACAUUUUAACUUAUUUCUUUAUUUCAGCAUCACAUAGUGUAUCAGAAAUCAGAAUAUGUAAAUACAUUAUCUGAGUAAGUAUUCUGCCACUGCUCUUUCAUUAUGCAUUUUUUAUGGUCCUAUUUAAUAUGCAAAGAACAGAUAUAAGUAAAUGUGCCUAAAGUUACAUAUAUACCUUCUAUGAGUACAGUUAUACAAGUUACCUUGUGGUGAUGAUCAAAACUUGGAUACAGUAUUUAAGGUCUUUUUAUACUAUGGCUAUUUGCAUAUUUCACCAUUAAAAUAUAUUGGCAUUUAAAGAAAACAGAGACUAAUUUUUUUUUUUUUUGCUUCUUGCUAUUUUGGUGUAAUGUGAUUCAUUUAAAACUGGAAAUAAUUUAUUUUUAAAAAUAUAAAAUAGAAUACACUUAAAAUUAAAUUUUGCUUUUUUUUUUUAAAUUAUUCUUCCCCAUAAGCCAAAUCUCUCCUUGUAAUGAUUUAAAAAUCUUGCAAAGUGUGAAUUUUCAGAUACUGGAAUGUUUAGGAAGUAUUUUCCAUGCUAAAAAACACCGGAAGAUUUAAAUCUCUUUUUUUUCAUUAAAAGUACCUGGCUACAUGACAGGAAAGAAAAUAUUUAGUAUUGUUUAGAUAUAAUAUGCAAAAUAUCCUUGUCAAUAAAUAGGAUUUGCCCAGUGCUGGAUAACAAAAAAUAUAUUUGUUUUUUAUCCAUGGUUCCUGGCACAGAGCACCCCAAUCCCUUGGAAUUUACUGAGCAACUGGAGUGUCCUUUGUUAUUCAUAAUAAUGAGCUCCUUUCCACUGGAGUUUAUGCUAAUGUAGUGACUCUAGGUGGUCCCUUAGAUAGUUUGAAGGGGAAAUGGCCACACUUGUUGAGGGAAGUGGCUGCAAAUAGAGUUCAAUCACCAAUGACCAGUGAUUUAAUCAAGCAAGACUAAGGAAUAAGACCUUUAAAAAUUCAUGAACAGCAAGAUUCAGGGAGAUUUGUGGUGGUAAAUGCACCAGCGCUCUGGGAGGGUGGCACUCCCAGAGAAGACAAGAAAGCUCUGCCCCUUCCUCGUAAAGCCUUGCCUAUGCAUAUAUCAUCCUCUUUGCUGAGUUGGAUCCUUUAUCACAAACUAGUAAUUCAAGUGAUUCCCUGAGUUCUAUGAAUCAUUCUAAUAAUAAUCAUAGCUGAAGGGGGGGAUGUGUUGUGGGGGCUUCCUGAUUUUUAGCCAUGUCUGACAGAAGUGCAGGUAGCCUGGAGGCCGAUGAGUUGUGCCUGAUGUCUGAAGUGAGUGUGGUCCUGUGUGAUUGAAUCCUUAAACCUGUGGAGUCUGAUGCAAAUUCUGGGUAGUGGCAGAAUAGGAUUGAAUGGUAGGACAUCCGGUUGGUAACAGAGAAUAAGAGAACUGUUGUUGGAAAAUGACAUGUGCAGAUGUUGUUCUCCAUAUAGUAAGUGAUAUUUAGUUCAGAUAAUAGCAUUUUAUGUAACCAGCAAAUGACAUGAUAAAUUCGAAUCUGUGACCUAACAAUAAGAAUCUCUGGAGUUCAACUAUUACAAUUUCAUUUUGUUGAACUGGUUUUAAUCUCCCAGUAUAUUAACAGGACCCAAAAAUGAAAUGACAGGAAGAGUAAAUGCCAUGAACACAUUUCUUACCAUCCUAGCAAUUGAAUUACUAGGAAGGAAAAAACCCAUCAAGAGGAAAAGCACAUCAGACAUAACCUGUGUAUUUCUUCUAUGAUUUAAUAUGAUUUAUUAGAUGAAUGACACUAAAUCAUUACUUACAAAACUUAUUAAUAGAAAUUUCAGUUCAAGUAUCUUCUCAGCUAGCAGCUUUGCACUGAAGCUUUUUGACUGGCAGUUGGAAUCAUCAUAAAUAGAGGCAGAACUUUAGAACAGAAAAGAAUUGGAAGAAACCCAAAAAAGGCAUGCCAUGAAUAUUACUAACCAAAACCAGUUUUAUUGGAUGAUAUAUGUAGAGCAGGGUCUGUAACCAAUCAAGUUUUUCAACCCUGUCUAGCCAGCAUUGCUGAAGGUUUGCCCUUGCCCUAAGGCAGCUAUUGUUUGAGGGAAAGUUGCUGCUCUUAAUGCAAAUUCAGUGACUUCAAUUGUCUUCUCUGACAUUACCAAAGAAAAGAUGCCCUGGGCCGUUGAAUAUGUAUUUUUUAAAAACCUAUACGUGUUGGAAAAAGUCCAAAUGAUUAGCUCUUAAAAUAAUGCACUUGACUUCCAAGUUAUGGUGGUCAGCUAAGCUUUGUCUGAUGGCAUUCCCCAUUGGAAAGCCCCUAAAAACACAGGAACCUUUGUAGAGUCAAAGUUGUACUAUUAAGUGAUUAAUACGUUAAAUAUUUAUCUGAGGGCCUGUUCUGGGCCUGGGACUGUUUUAGGUAAAUACAGAGUGAGAAUCCUUUCUGUCUUUUUAGAGAUAUUGUAGCUAGGGUAGAGGCAGAUAAUCCACAAUUAACAUAAUACAUUAGAAGGUAGGGAGUACUAUGAAGGGGAGAGAGACACUCAUAGUUGCCAAACUCUGAAAGUAUUAAUUAUGGAAAAGUGUCAGAUUGAUAAAAGAUAGUACUCAUGUCUGGGCCUCUGAAAGUGCUGCAAGUUGGAGAUGGGAAAGAUUCCCUGCUUCUCCCUACUCCCUACCUCUGCGUCAGAAACUGAGGCCUGUGUUCAACCAAAAAGAGUGGGAGCAAUUCCCCUGCUGGGGCAAGCAAAACUGACCAGUGUACUAAAUUCCCUCAUCCACUGAGUGCCUGAAAGUCACUAUAUGUGUAUACAUACACACACACACACACACACACACACACACACACACACACUAGCCAGGGGUGAACAGGGACCCAUAAUGCCUUGUUAUUAAAUCAGCUGUAAAUAAGACUAGAAGUAGGAAAAACAUGGGUAAUUGAUGCAGUAUGGAGAUUUGAGUUUUCAUCUGGCAUUUUUAGUAAAAAGUGGACCCAAUAGGCACUCACACGCAUUUGCCACAGAAUUAUAACACUAUGAGGUGAAGAUGACCACUUCUAUUUUAGAGAUAUGCUAUGGCAGAGACAAGUUAAAUGAUUUGCUUAAAGUCACACCUCUAAUAGGUUGUAGAGCUGGGUUUGAACCUGGGCAAUAUGAUUAGAGAUUGUAUGGUUUUAAACAAUAUAUAAGACCACUUCCUCAUUGUAAAGGAACCAGGUCCCAGAGUAAAUAAAACAAGGCUGUCUCAGUUGCACCAAAUAAGCAUUAGCUAGAAACCACAAAUUUGAGAGUACACACCUGUUGUUCUUCAGAUUAAGGUAUGAGAGAAUUAAGAGAAUUUUGGCAGCAUGCCAGUGAACCCUAAGUCAGAAAAAAUUUGGAAUACAUAUUCACAUUGUCAACUUACAACCUGUAUAUGCUGGUUGUGCUUCAUUAAAGUGAUCCAGAAAAAAAAUCAACACAAGGAAUCAAUGAAAAUAUUCAUUCAUAUAGUGUAAGUAAAACAUGGACCUAAACACCAUGGGCAAAGCAUAUCUAUACAGUACUUACCUUAGGUAAAAAAUUUAGUAAUUAUCUAUGUUAUAUUCUUUACAAUUUAAGUAAAAUGUAGGCUAUAGGAAUAAAAUGAAAAUAGAAUAGUCUGAAUUAUCAAAAUUGACACUGCAGAAAAUCAAAUUAGGAAUUAAAUAAAAUGUGUAAACAAUUCAAAGUGUGACCACCAUGGGUGAUGUGAAAACAAAAAGAUAAAUUGAGGUAUAAGAAAACAUAGUAGAUCUAUUAAUUAUAUCACAAUUUUUUUUUUUGCCUCACCUGUGACUUGAGGAUUUUCCUAGACUAGACAUCAAAUCCGCACCACAUCAGUGACCUGAGCCACAGCAUGUCCUUGACCCAUGAGGCCACUAGGGAACUCUGUUAAUUUUAUUAUUUUUAAACUAAAAAUAAGAAAGAAAUCAACCUUUAUUAAUAUUUCUGCACAUAUUACACUAGUGGCUUCUCUUUGUUAAUAUAAUACAUGGUCAUGGAUGAUAUUCAAACGUAAGUGGUACAGAGAAAAGAGGAAAGAAGUCUCCCUCAUACAGCCCAAGAGAUUAGCAGGAUUUUUGCUUUUAUUUUUGCAUAUAGCAAUGUGUAUAUGUGCCUACACAAUGUAUUAUGUGCCUAGUUAAGCAGAUUCACAGAUAGCAUUUUGCUAAAUCGUAGACUAUUUAAUUCAGUACUUGAGAUAAGUCACUAUGAAAAACUUUUGUACUGGUUAUAUCAGGACAAAAGACUUAAGAAAACUGUCAAACUUGAAUAUGAGCUAGAGAUCUUUCUUUUAUAAAAAAAUUAGGCACUCCAGAUUUUCUAUAAAGCCAAAAAGCUGUCGGGGAUUGCUGGUUGGUGUAUAGUCUAGAAAAAAUAAAUAUCUUAACCUGUUCCUUCAUGGAUGUGAUUUCUAUAAACAACUGAGAAAAUAACAAUUUUUUUCUGAAAAAAAUAAAAAACAAAAAACUCAUGGUAAAGAGAAAAGAUUUUGAAAUGAAUGUAUGGAAAUAUUUCCAACAUUGUGUGUUUGUGUGUGUUUGAUAAUUAUGUAAAUGCAUUAUUAAUAAAAACUCACACAUGCUUUAAAAAUUUUGGAAACAAAAUUUUCUAACGUAAUUAAAAUUUUUAUAGUCAAUGAGUUUCAGUGAAUUUUGAAAUUUGUUAAAAUUUUAACCAAAAGCAAAUUUUAACCAAAAAAUUGUUAGUUGGUGGAAAUUUGAAAUGAAUAUUAUAGUUUAGCACAGCUAAUUCAGCACUUAUUCCACUUGGAUCACAUAUCUUUGAGUGCAAUUCUUUUCAGUUAUAUUAACCAUUAACAGCAAGUAUCAAAAACUUAGAUCCUAGAGACACUGUAUUAGAAAAUAUUAAAUCAAAAAUUUCCAAAUCAGUGAGGCAUAUUCAAUAAUAUUGCUGCCCUAAAAAUAAUUCUCACUAUUAUAAAUUUUAUAAAUAACAUUUUACAGUAGACUUUUGCUCUUAAUACAUAAAACAUAGUAUGUUUAAAUGUUCAUUAGUCUUUAUCUUGCGUUUUUCUAAUUUUUGCUUUUGCAUACUCAUGAUAUAGUACAUAUGUAUGAUCUGAAUAAAUAAGUAGAGUUUUUUUUUGUGGUAUAAAACAAGCCAACUGUGACUUACUCCUUUACCUACUCUGACUACUUGGGCUAGAACUCCUUAUAAAACCUGUUCAUGAUAUUUAUUAGGGGAAAGAUACUGGAGAAUGCCUAUUUGAAAAAUGAUACAUGUGAUCUGUGCAGAUUUCUUACAGUAAUCAGCCUAUAAUUUGACUUCCUGGAGAAUGGGAUAUGGUAAUAUGGAUAUGUUUUAUCUGUGCAACUGAGUAUAAAACUGGAGAACCACAAAACUGAAAUGACGUCUUGGAGACGUCAUAUCCAUUGUUCAGAGUGUAUCUUAACCCCUUCCAUGUCAAUGCCAGAGAAAGGGAUAUUUUUGAAAACUGUAGCUAAAACAUUUGACCUUUCCUAGAAAGAAGUGCUACUCCUCUGCCAGCUGUUGCGUGUAACCUUUGAAUCAUUAGGAAAGAUUGGUAAUAGCCAGAGUCUACUUUGACACUUCAACCCACCCAGUAAGUUGUUAGCUCAAUCGUUUUUUAAUUAUAGGGUACAAUGUAGAAGUGUGGAUACCACUAGAUAGAGGACCAUGCAAAUGAAAACAACAGAAGUUUAUAAAAAUAAGCUUAAAAAAGUAUUUUUAUAGAAAGAAAGAGUCACACAUUAAUGGAAACAUUAGCAAUGAACACAAAUAGAUGUCUCCAUGUCAGGUGUCUCAGUAACCCCUUACCUUGCAAGUGAUCAAAGAACCAUUCUAACUGGCUUAAAAAUAUGAGAAAUUUUUAGGUCACAUAAGUGCAGAAAUAGUCUUCAAAGUGAGAGUCUUCGGUAUUGUUUUUAUCCAAUGGCACCUUAGACCCUGAUUUUUUCCACAUCUGUGCUUCUUUCUGAGGUGUCAGCUUUAUCCUUUAUAUUAUAUAAUAAUAAUUACAAGUUACAAAGCUGUAAUCAGCUAAAGCUUGUAUAUAUUAAUGCCUGCUAUCCUACUAACCUACACCUAGUUUCCCUAGC